rnacentral:lncRNA from 1 species
AUGAUGAGGUUGGCGAUCUAUCAGCAACGAACGGCCCGACACUAUAAUCAGAAGGUGAAGACAAGGAGGUUUGCAGUAGGAGAUCUGGUCCUCCGGGAGUCUGAGGCAUCAACCCCCCAAAACACCGGCAAGUUAAUGCCUAACUGGGAGGGGCCUUAUGAGGUGAUAGGAGUGCCGAAGCCCGGAACCUACCGGCUUCGAGCAAUGGACGGUUCGGAGGUAAAGAAUACAUGGCAUGCUGGAAGACUUAGAAAAUUUUACUAGUAAUAGUUAUGCCGUUCCUAUUUUUAUCCAUGUAAUCGUUUCAAUUCAAAUGAUAUAAAUGAAAGUUCCC